UGGGGAAUAUUGCACAAUGGACGAAAGUCUGAUGCAGCAACGCCGCGUGGGUGAUGAAGGCCUUCGGGUUGUAAAGCCCUGUCAACAGGGAAAAAUGUCCAGCAUGCUAAUAUCAUGCUGGAGUGAUUGUACCUGUGGAGGAAGCACCGGCUAACUCCGUGCCAGCAGCCGCGGUAACACGGAGGGUGCAAGCGUUGUUCGGAAUUACUGGGCGUAAAGCGCGUGCAGGUGGUUUUUUAAGUCUCGUGUGAAAUCCCUCGGCUUAACCGAGGAACUGCACGAGAUACUGAGAGACUUGAAUACGGGAGAAGAGGGCGGAAUUCCCAGUGUAGAGGUGAAAUUCGUAGAUAUUGGGAGGAACACCGGCGGCGAAAGCGGCUCUCUAGACCGAUAUUGACGCUCAUACGCGAGAGCGUGGGUAGCAAACAGG
rnacentral:rRNA from 1 species